rnacentral:rRNA from 1 species
UACGGAGGUGGCAAGCGUUGUUCGGAAUUACUGGGCGUAAAGGGCGCGUAGGCGGCAAGGCAAGUCAGGUGUGAAAGCCCCGAGCUUAACUCGGGAAUUGCAUCUGAAACUGCUGUGCUUGAGUUCUGGAGGGGGUAGUGGAAUUCCCAGUGUAGCGGUGAAAUUCGUAGAUAUUCGGAAGAACACCAGUGGCGAAGGCGGCUCACUGGCCCGGUACUGACGCUGAGGUGCGAAAGCGUGGGGAGCAAACAGG